UCUGGCAAGGGCGGGGCCUGUUGGGUCUAAGACUCCAGCCAGCAGCCGGAUGGGCAAGGAGGACGUAGUCUUAGGGAUGCGGCGCUGCAGGCCUUGAAAGGUGGAAUCAGAUGUGUGGCACCAUCUCAGAAGAGAAGGAAGAAAUGCUAUUCUGCUGAUAAAUGCCACAGCGGUAGUGGCUGAAGAAAGAAAUUGGCAUAUACCUGGCAGAGACAGAUGUGUUCUUUCACCAUGUGGCUCUAUGUGUGCCUUCUAUAACCACAUUUCACAGAAAGAAGAGAAUGUUGUUGCACUCUUUUAAUCCCAGCACUCAGGAGGCUACGGUAGAAGAUCAGAAGUUCAAGGUCAUCCUCAACUACACAAGCUUUCUGGAUGAAAAGCCAUGUGGAAAGGCGCAGGACCAGCAGCAGCAGCUUCCUGCACUUGAGUAAUCAGUGGGCGUCCUCAGCAGGCUCUUUCCCAUAGCCUGCUCACUGGAGACCUAGUCCAGCUCAAAGUGUUUCUUUCCAGGCCUUAAUAAGUCGCUCAGCUCUGCAGGAUCCCUCAGAAAACAGAUUUAUCAUACAAGAUCCCUGUUGUCUUUUGGAAUUGUUCAUGGAAGGCUAAAACAGAAACCUGCUCCUAUCUACUCCAAAUGCUACUAACAGUAUCUGGAGAAAGGAAACUGAACAGAAAUCACCCUGAGCUAUUCUCAACUGUCAUCAUAGAUUCAGCCCUGCUGAAGCUGCUGCUUAAGGCCUGGUGUCCUUCUAGACUCCGGUAUGCUCAUCGUACUUCACGUAGUCAAGAUGAAGGACAAACUGAUGGGUGGUUCUGCAGCAGUCAAGCAACAGAAUUGGAAGAUUCCCUGAGUCCUGAUGCUGCUCCACCCCACAUUAAGUCCCGUGUGAGAAUAACAGUGUUACUAAUAUUAUCUUGUGACAGUUCUUUUUUCAGGAACUUCAGCUUGUUAGGACUAGUACCUGGUUUUAGCAACAAUAAAGGUAUUUCAGAACCUUU